CAAUAGCGUAUAUUAAAGUUGUUGCGGUUAAAAAGCUCGUAGUUGGAUUUCUGCCGAGGACGUCCGGUCCGCCCUCUGGGUGUGUACAUGGUACGGCCUGGGCAUCUUCUUGGAAAACGUAUCUGCACUUGACUGUGUGGUGCGGUAUCCAGGACUUUUACUUUGAGGAAAUUAGAGUGUUUCAAGCAGGCCUACGCCUUGAAUACAUUAGCAUGGAAUAAUAAGAUAGGACUUUGGUCUAUUUUGUUGGUUUGCAGACCGAAGUAAUGAUUAAUAGGGAUAGUUGGGGGUAUUUAUAUUCCGAUGUCAGAGGUGAAAUUCUUAGAUUUUCGGAAGAUAAACUUAUGCGAAAGCAUUUACCAAGGAUGUUUUCAUUAA
rnacentral:rRNA from 1 species